ACCCCGACUCAACUGGCUGGUCCUCAGUGCUGCCUGCUUCCGUGCCCAACUUAGAACUAUACAGCUGCUGCCUCCUAGUAACAUGUCAUUAUAAGGCUUCUUCAUCAGCCCUAACCCUGCCAACCACUCCUGCCCCACUGAAUGUGCCAAUGGAUUGCUCAGCUCCAACUAAGGAAAAGAAGAAGGAAGUUGGAUACUUUAUACCCUCUAUAUUGUCCAUUAGCAACACAACCUAGAGCUAGGAUGGAGAAAGAAAACGCCAAAAUGCUAAUGAAAAAUGUUCAGAUGUAUCACAUAUUAAGCAUACAUGAUCCCAAAUAUUUUGCCUGAUUUGUGCUACAUAUGCUAUUUUCCAUGUUGUAUAGGCUCUGGUGCUAGUGUUCAUUUAUAGAAAUCUCCAUCAGCUGUACAAAUGGGAAUUUAAAUACAUUUAACUAUGUGCUAAUAAUCUCAUAAUCCAAUUUAUCAUGUAUGAUUGACAGAUGAAAUUAUUUGGGGCAAAAGCUAUGAUUUUAUUGUUGUAAGUUAUUGUGAAUGCUGGGCAGUGUAGGGCAUGGCACUAGCUACCACCUCCCAGAAAUGUGUAAGGACUAUUGAAGGUUCCUUGCUCUUUUUUCUUCUUCAAUAUAAGCAAAGUUAUUUAUAUCAUAAAGUUGAAAGUUGGAAUUCCA